GGGUGCGAUCAUACCAGCACUAAUGCACCGGAUCCCAUCAGAACUCCACAGUUAAGCGUGCUUGGGCGAGAGUAGUACUAG
rnacentral:rRNA from 1 species